GUGGGACUGCCACAACAAUGUUGAUCAAUAGCUUUCACACUAAAAGUGAUGCAGAGCUUGCCGGGAAGCAAGUGCAAUGUCUUGGAAAGUAUCUAAGCAUGAGUUUAAUUUGGAGCUGCUUUAAGUGGUUCUUCAGUGGUAUUGGAGAUUCAUGUGGGUUUGACAACUUUCCUAGCCUUGGAUUGACACUUUUUAAGAACACGUUUUAUUUCGACUUCAGUCCUACUUAUGUC
rnacentral:lncRNA from 1 species